rnacentral:lncRNA from 1 species
UCGCACAUAAUUUCCGUCUUAAUACGAUAACGACAUCUCGUUAACCACUUGGUGGCGCACCAUGUUCGUUACUAAUGUUGGUUUUACUACUUAUAUCGACGAGAACAAGGGAAAUAUGAGAAACUAUAGAUUAAGGAAAAUGAUGAUUUGUUAUUUAACCAUAGAUUAAGGAAUAUGAUAUACUUUUCACAUAUAUCAUGCCG